UACCCACCACAUAGAUUUAAUCAGUGUUAACAUUUUUGCCAUAUUUCCUAUUAUUCAUGGGACUAUUUGGGGGAAAAAAAGAUAGUCAUCCUGACCUGUCAGCCUUACAUCUGUCCAUCUGCAUCUCUUGGUUAAAAAAAAGGCACUUUCUUACCCAACCACAAUACCAUUAACAGUCAUUUUUUUAUAUAAUCUGAUCCUCAAUCUCGGGCCUCUGGUUGGAAAUGAGUCGCAGGCCUUUCCCAGACCCACUGAAUCAGAGUCUGUGCCUCCUCGAGGUCCCAGAGUAGUUCAGCUCACAUCACAGUCUGAGAAGCAAACAUUAUACCCAGUCUGUUUGGGGUUGAAUUCUGUCCCCCAAAAUUCAAAUGUUGAAGACCUAAACCCCAGGACCUCAGGACAUGACCUUAUUUGGAAACAGGGCCAUUGCAGACAUCGUCAGUUCAGAUGAGGUCAUACGGGAGGAGGGCAGGCCCUAACCUGGUGUGACCAGGGUCCUUAUUGUAAAAUUUGGACAUAGAGACACCUGUGCAUGGAGGGAGGACGAUGUGAAAAGACAGAGAGAAGGCAGCCGUCUGCAAGCCAAGGAGAGAGGCCUGGAAUGCGUCCCUCCCUCACAGCCCUCAGAGGGACCAGCCUGGCCGAGAGCCACCUUGGUUUUGGAUGUCAGGCCUCCCGAGCUGGGAGAACACGUCUGUCGUUGUCAGCCACCCAGGUUGCGGUCCUGUGCUAUGUCAGCCCCAGGAUACUCAUGCCCACAGCCUGCGCUCAGGCUCCCCCCAAAGCUGAGCCCACCCUGAAAGGUUCUGAUGUAACCGGGCUGGGGUGGAGCUUAGGCGCCGAUGCUCGUGACAUUCCCGUGGGAUUCUCGGCUGAGCACCGGUGGAUCCCUGCUCCACUCUCCCGGUUAGCUGGGAAACAGCAGGCCAGGUGAAACCCCAGUGCUGCCUGGCGCUUUGUGGGGAAGGGCUGUAAGCUGUCCGGGGAGAGAAACACCAGCGCUAGAGUGGGAACCCUCCAAGCUGUGGUCUUCAACGUGGAGUCCUGGACCAGCAGCGCCAGCAUCCCUUGGGAGCUUUCGAGAAAUGCAGAUGCUCGAGCCCCAGGCGGGCCUCUUGAAUCAGAGACUGUGGGGUGGGGCCCUCCUGGCAAUUCUGAUGCCCGCUCAAGUGUGGGAACCAGAGCCUUAAAGGGGUGUGGGCCGCAAGCGCCCCGUGCAUCUCAUAGCCUCCAUCCGCACCAGCCCACAGGGAUUUUAAGAACGAUUAGCUGUCUUUAUGCUGAGUUGUAAAGAAGCAAAAUCCACUUGCAUAGCCAAGCUUAUGCCGGGUGUUUCCUUCCUGGACCUCCCAGCUAGCAUCUGCAUCCGACUGCGGUCCCCACACAGUCACUUUGUUAAUCCACUUGUUUGUUGAAACAUUAAUAGAGGAACACAGUAACGACCUCAAACAGUCCCGAGAGGAUUUAAUGACAAGGGAAUCUCUCCAUCGCAGUCCGAGUCCUGCUCCCCAGAGGCGGCCACAGCCAGAACUCUUGUGGAUUUUCCCAGAGCUCUUCUCUAAAUCCAUACUCAAGUCCACGAACAUCCCUUGAACACGCACACCAGAAGCCGACCACAGCUUUACACAGUGUCUUUUUCCUGCACUUAGCAACAUAUCAUGGAGCUCACACAGACCUCUGUUUUCGUAACCUGCUUGUCUGACUGUGUGUGAUUAAUUGAGCAAACCCCUACGGCUGAGUGCUUCAUGUGCUUCUCAUCUUUUGCUUUUACGUGCAACAAUCCUUGUGCAUAUAUAUCCUUACACAAAUGGCCCAACGUUGGGGUUUCCAGAUGUGUGAAUUUCACAGGCCAAUUAAAGUAUCAAGGGGCUGGGGCCGGCCUGGUGGCACAGCGGUUAACUGCACACAUUCGCUUCGGCAGCCCAGAGUUCACCGGUUCGGAUCCCGGGUGCGGACAUGGCACCACUUGGCAAGCCAUGCUGUGAUCUGCGAUGACUGGUUUUCAACAAGAUUCUUCGAAGGAUGAAGGGAGCUGGGAUUAUACACAUGCACUCGCCCCGCCCUCCAAAAUCCCAAGGGUGUCGUUUUGUAGCGGGCCUCCGCCAGCUUCUCCCCAUUCUGCUUUUAAUGACGCCGCCCUGCGGUCCCAGGUGUUCCCCGUGAAGAGCGAGCGCUUCCAUUCUCGUUAGGUAGGGCGACUGAUUUGCUAGAAGGUAAUUCCAAGCAGGUGCCUAAUGAGAUUAACGCGGCAACUGGACAGCUGCUUCACUUUCAAAGAAAUCUGUUAGCAGGUGCUCGUGGGCUCAGCUCUAUUAAAAGCCAAUUGCUCUGUAAUUCAAUUGCGUGGCAGCCUCUAUUAUCCAGGAGUCCAAAUGCCUGGAAAACAGGACGGCUCCUGCCUGCGGUCUGGCCCUGCCCCACUUCCCCAAGAGUGCCUGGUCUCUCAUCCCUUCUGUGUAUUUGCAGAUGGCUCCUGCAGAUGGCUCCUAAACUGAGCCUUGCGGAGGCCCUGUCUGAGGACGACGGCUUUGGCAUCCCCCGGGAGCCAGAACCCACAUUUUCACCAGGUGAUUCACAGGCACGUUACAAUCUGAGAAGGCCUGGCCUAAAUAGAGCUAGCCCGAGACCCAGUGGGGGGCGGGUGGGCAAUGUGUUGUCAGACCGCUGGGUGGGGACCCGACUCUGCCAGAUCUGCUUGUGGACGUUGAAUAAGAGGCUUGGCUCUCUGGGCCUCAGUUUGCUCACGUGUAAAGUGGGAGUAAGAAUGGGAGGUGCCUCCAGGAGCUGUUUUGAGGAUUAAAUACACGAAUGAACGUAAGGCUCUCUCACAGGGCCUGGCACAGGAGAGGUGCUCCAACAGUGUGGGUGCUUUCUUCCCUGCCCCGAUGAGAAAGGGACUCCGGGGCCACUGUCUCCCCAGCUCUGACCAUCCCAGAAACGCACAGGGCCCUGUGGGCUCUAAAUUCAGCGCUUGUCAGGCUGUCCCAGGGCAGUGGUCAAGGUGAGGUUCCAGGACUCGGUCCCAGAGAGUCUGUAGGUCAGGAGUGGUGCCUAGAUGUUUGCACUCUUCCCUCUGCCUCCCAGGUGACCAUGACACACGUGGUCCAGGGAGCACGCACAGAGAAACCAUCCAGAGCCCUCGCUGCUCAGAGUGUGGUCUGCGGACCAGCAGCGUCCCCUGGAGCCUGUUAGAAAUGCGGGAUGUCAGGCCUGCCCCGGACUGUCAGCCCAGGAUCUGCAUUUUAACCAGCUCCCCGGGAGACCAGGCAUCGACCUAGGACUCAGCGCAGGCAAAAUGCGGGCACACAGGAAGUGCGUGUGGCCUCUCAGGCUCAGCCUCCCAGCCCCCUCUUCUUCCGAGGACAAGGCUUAGCUGUCAUCCUCCAAUGUUGAAGCUUGAUUUUUCUGGAAAGGGUCUCAUACUAUUUCCUGGCACUGCUGUAACAAAGUACCACAAACUGAGUGGCUCAAAACGACAGACAUGUAUUCUCUCACAGUCCCAGAGGUCAGUGUCCAAACUCAGGUUCCCUCUGGGGACUCCAAGUGAGAAUUCGCUCCAGGCCUCUCCCCCAGCUUCUGGUGGCGGCCAGCGACCCUCGGCGUCAGGACUUGUCGACGCAUCACUCCCCUCUGCUCCAUCGUCACACGGCCUUCCCUGUGUCCGUGACUUCUCUUCUGUCUCUUAUAAGCACAUCAGACAUCAGAUUGAGGGCCCACCCUAAUCCAGGAUGAUCUCCUCUCAAGAUCCUUAAUUACAUCUGCAAAGACUA
rnacentral:lncRNA from 1 species